rnacentral:rRNA from 1 species
AACGAACGCUGGCGGCAGGCCUAACACAUGCAAGUCGAACGCACCGCAAGGUGAGUGGCGCACGGGUGAGUAACACGUGGGAAUGUAUCCUUUGGUUCGGAAUAACGUUUGGAAACGAACGCUAAUACCGGAUGAGCCCUUAGGGGGAAAGAUUUAUCGCCGAAGGAGCAGCCCGCGUCUGAUUAGGUAGUUGGUGGGGUAAAGGCCUACCAAGCCGACGAUCAGUAGCUGGUCUGAGAGGAUGAUCAGCCACACUGGGACUGAGACACGGCCCAGACUCCUACGGGAGGCAGCAGUGGGGAAUAUUGGACAAUGGGCGCAAGCCUGAUCCAGCCAUGCCGCGUGAGUGAUGAAGGCCUUCGGGUUGUAAAGCUCUUUCGCACACGACGAUGAUGACGGUAGUGUGAGAAGAAGCCCCGGCUAACUUCGUGCCAGCCGCCGCAGUAAUAC